AGUUUUAUUCUACAAGCAUUAAGAAAUUAGCUGUAAAUCUGUCUUUGUACUAAAGUGUGGAUCUGAUGUUUUUAUCCCUCUGUGUUAAAGUGAUGAUUUAAUGUUUCAAUUGAAUGAUGGACGUGUCAUUAAUUCCACUUUUUCUCAUCACAUUCAAGGCAGCUGAGUUCAAUGUAUGCAGGAUAGAGGUUAUCUAUCAUGGCCACCUCAAGUUAAGGAUGUAGACCUAGGUUAAGGGAGGUAACUCUUAAAAAUCAUCAGUA
rnacentral:lncRNA from 1 species